CCUGUGUGCGAGGCUAAGGAGCACAUGUAUUAUUGAGCUCUCCCCGUAAUUGACUCUGUGUGCCAGAGAGGGAGAAGCGGUCGCCUUUUGAUCCACUGAUUAUUUCUCCUUAUUACAGACCAAGUAAAGGAAAGUGCUAAAUCUCA